rnacentral:rRNA from 1 species
UACAGAGGUGGCAAGCGUUGUUCGGAAUUACUGGGCGUAAAGGGCGCGUAGGCGGCCUACUAAGUCAGACGUGAAAUCCCCCGGCUUAACCUGGGAACUGCGUCUGAUACUGGAAGGCUUGAGGAUAGGAGAGGGAUGUAGAAUUCCUGGUGUAGCGGUGAAAUGCGCAGAUAUCAGGAGGAACACCGGUGGCGAAGGCGGAUCUCUGGGCCUUACCUGACGCUCAGGUGCGAAAGCUAGGGGAGCGAACAGG